CAUGAAGACAAAUCAUCUUGUAACUGUGGAAGGAGGCUGGCCACAGUUUGGAGUAGGAGCUGAAAUCUGUGCCAGGAUCAUGGAAGGUCCUGCGUUCAAUUUCCUGGAUGCUCCUGCUGUUCGUGUCACUGGUGCUGAUGUCCCUAUGCCUUAUGCAAAGAUUCUAGAGGACAACUCUAUACCUCAGGUCAAAGACAUCAUAUUUGCAAUAAAGAAAACAUUAAAUAUUUAGUUUGGACUUGAAUAUCAAGUCGUUGAAAUUUAUUUGAAAUACUUGCUGGCACUGCACCUGGAUUUGUACUGCAAGACCUGACUAUUCAUAACGGAAAACGAUUUCUAAAGCAACAGCAGGUAUUUUUGUACAGGGAAGUUUAAAUGUGUUUGUGUAUGGAAAACUCUCCACUCUCCUCCCCUAGAUGCCAUGCUUCCUUUUGUCUGUUACGGUUGCCAUGUUCUUUGAAUAACAAAUUAUAUAACAUUUUAUCCUCUCUCACCACAAGGACAAAGUAUGGAUGUGGCAGAGUCCUCAUGAAAGAUGUAUCCAAACAAGAUAACUUAUAUGUAUAAAAUUAAAGCAUAUAAUAUACAUUUACUGUUAGUUUGUUUUGAUAAGGAAUAAAGGAAUUUCUAAC
rnacentral:lncRNA from 1 species